rnacentral:sRNA from 1 species
ACAGGACUCAGAAGCUGCUAUCGAAAAAUUCAAAGAAUCCUUAUGAGGAGUCGAGCAGAGACGUGAGGAGUCGCAGGCCUGCUGACACUGAGGAUGGGAUGUCCUCUUGCCCUCAACCUUGGUUUGUGGUUAUAAAGGAACACAAAGACCUCAGGAAUGGGAGUCAACCAGUGGCUGGUGAGGAUGGCCAGGCAGCAGAUGUUGGGUCAGUGCAACCAACUUCAUGGAGGCAGGAGCCCCAGUUAUGUGGAAUGGGCACAGAGCAAGGCUGCUGGAUUCCAGUAUCCAGUGAUAACGGCUCCUGUCCCCAGGUAAUGGAGCGAAGCUUUCAUAUGCCCUCCUAUGGGACACAGCCCCUUGAAGGGGGUGUUGAGAAGCCCCAUUCUCUCCUAUCAGCUAACCCAUUAUGGCAACAAAGGGCCCUGGACCCACCACACCAAAUGGAGCUGACUCAGUGAAAACUGGAAUUCAAAGGAAAGUCAAGAAGAAUGAAC